AGUGAACGCUGGCGGCGUGCCUAAUACAUGCAAGUCGAACGGAGUGGCGCACGGGUGGGUAAUGUAUAGCUAAUCUGCCCUACACUAGAGGACAACAGUUGGAAACGGCUGCUAAUACUCUAUAGUGUAGGAUGAGGCUAUAUUGUAUCAGCUAGUUGGUGAGGUAAUGUAUCACCAAGGCUAUGACGCAUAACUGGUCUGAGAGGAUGAUCAGGCAAAAUGGAAAUGAGAAACGGUCCAGACUCCUACGGGAGGGAGCAGUAGGGAAUAUUGCUAAAUGGGGGAAACCCUGAAGCAGCAACGCCGCGUGGAGGAUGACACUGUUCGGAGUGUAAACUCCUUUUGUUAGGGAAGCGGUACCUAACGAAUAAGCACCGGCUAACUCCGUGCCAGCAGCCGCGGUAAUAC
rnacentral:rRNA from 1 species